rnacentral:lncRNA from 1 species
GGGAGUGAGCCGAGUCUCUUUGACCAGGCUAGAGCGCCAGCGCUCCUCUGACCCGGCACACUUUGGCAAAGUUGCAGUGGCCUGUUUGCUUAGGCACUGAAGUGGAUGACCCAAGUUAGGAUGACAACUUGCAGAGAACGCGGAUGAGACCUUCAGUUUGUGCCCACACUCAUUUGCAGCAACCCUAACAGAGAUUGCGAAGAUUUUCAAAGUGGGGCACCUCGAUUUCUCGAAUCUGUGGUGUGGCGAAUAUCCGUGUUCCUCCUGCUUAACUAGCCUGUUUGAAGGCACAGUUCAUUCUCGAGCAAUUCGUCACCUCCUGGGGGUCUUCUCUUCCCGUCUACAGGAGAGUGUGACUUCAGAAAGAACUUCGGAUUGGCCAAGGCAGGUCUGAUUCUAUUUAUUCUAAAGACAGAGUUGGAGAUGGGCUACCAUUGGUGUUGAUUGAGAUGACAAGCAGUCACCUGAGCCCAUACAGCUGGGUUCACAGAUGUGGCUAGUCUUGCUAGCCAGCUCGCACUGUGGACAUUCUAGGGAACUGACUGCAGUCCUCAUGCUUGGAGUCAAACACUUUAACCACUGCACACGUUUAUGUAAUAGGAUUGACAUAUGAGAAUCAGAGAAAUGAAUGAAAGAUUAGAGUGGGAGAAAGUGCUUGCUGCCAAGCUUGAUGACCUAAAUUGAAUACCUGGAACCUACACGACAGAAAGAGAGAGCUGACUGCUGAAAGAUGUCCUCAGAUCUUCACAUGUGCACAGUGGCACCUAUCCAACCAUGCACAUAGU